CUUUCGAAUUUAUCUUAUCGUCGUGGAUUAGCAUCUCACGGUUCUUUGAUAGGCAUAAAGAAAUCGUUUUGGUAGCAACCACCAAACCAAUAGAACAAGGGUUAGCUCUGCAGCUGGUCCAUAAGCAAGGUAAGUAGAUCCAUUACCGGCCGGCUCCGGACCGUCAAAGACCUAACGGAGUAACCCCUUAUUUAUCUCGGAUCGGAGAUGCUAACGGGGCU
rnacentral:lncRNA from 1 species